rnacentral:rRNA from 1 species
AUUGAACGCUGGCGGCAUGCCUUACACAUGCAAGCCGAACGGCAGCGGACCUUCGGGUGCCGGCGAGUGGCGAACGGGUGAGUAAUGUAUCGGAACGUACCUUUCAGUGGGGGAUAACGUAGCGAAAGUUACGCUAAUACCGCAUAUUCUGUGAGCAGGAAAGCAGGGGAUCGCAAGACCUUGCGCUGAUUGAGCGGCCGAUAUCAGAUUAGCUAGUUGGUGAGGUAAAGGCUCACCAAGGCGACGAUCUGUAGCGGGUCUGAGAGGAUGAUCCGCCACACUGGAACUGAGACACGGUCCAGACCCCUACGGGAGGCAGCAGUGGGGAAUUUUGGACAAUGGGGGCAACCCUGAUCCAGCCAUGCCGCGUGAGUGAAGAAGGCCUUCGGGUUGUAAAGCUCUUUCGUCCGGGAAGAAAUCGCAUCAGCUAAUACCUGGUGUGGAUGACGGUACCGGAAUAAGAAGCACCGGCUAACUACGUGCCAGCCGCCGCAGUAAGAC